rnacentral:rRNA from 1 species
AAUAGAUACCCCGGUAGUCCACGCCGUAAACGAUGAGUGCUAAGUGUUAGAGGGUUUCCGCCCUUUAGUGCUGCAGCUAACGCAUUAAGCACUCCGCCUGGGGAGUACGGCCGCAAGGCUGAAACUCAAAGGAAUUGACGGGGGCCCGCACAAGCGGUGGAGCAUGUGGUUUAAUUCGAAGCAACGCGAAGAACCUUACCAGGUCUUGACAUCCUCUGAUAACCCUAGAGAUAGGGCUUUCCCCUUCGGGGGACAGAGUGACAGGUGGUGCAUGGUUGUCGUCAGCUCGUGUCGUGAGAUGUUGGGUUAAGUCCCGCAACGAGCGCAACCCUUGAUCCUAGUUGCCAGCAUUCAGUUGGGCACUCUAAGGUGACUGCCGGUGACAAACCGGAGGAAGGUGGGGAUGACGUCAAAUCAUCAUGCCCCUUAUGACCUGGGCUACACACGUGCUACAAUGGAUGGUACAAAGGGCUGCAAACCUGCGAAGGUAAGCGAAUCCCAUAAAGCCAUUCUCAGUUCGGAUUGCAGG